AGAAAAUGCUUAUUUUACAAAUUCAGCAGACGACAUUUUAGCAGACAACAAAUUUCCCAGCAUGCAAAGGGUUAACAUCUUCCACGUAUUCAAUAUGAGCCGUGUCAUGCAGAAAUGGUGCAUAUCCCCUAGGCGGCUGGCAUAGCUCCAGACCAUCCUGCGCAUCCACGCAGUCUGGUCAGGUGCUACACUGUCCGCACUUAAGUCACACAAGGUUUUGCUGUCUUGCCUUGGGAAGAAGGUUGCUUCUCACCUCUCCUGGCCUCAUAUGGCAAAACAAACAUUUUUGCAUUACACUGUUCAUUAAUUUUUAUGGGCUGGUGGCUAGACUAUCUUCUGCUGAUAUAAAUAUGAUAUUCUUUUACAAUAGAAAUUAAAUAUGAUUAUUCAUUUAAGUAAUAUUAAUAUAUAUUUUUUUGGAAUUGUUAAAAGGAAAGCUUAUGAGAAAGUCACUGUAAUUCUGUUCAUCAUCUAUUCUUCUAUAGUUUUGACUUAUUUCCAUUAUCUUAACUAUAUUUAUGCCCCCCUUCGAAGAAGAGGGGGUAUAUUGCUUUGCUCAUGUCGGUCUGUCGGUCGGUCUGUCGGUCCGUCCACCAGGUGGUUGUCAGACGAUAACUCAAGAACGCUUGGGCCUAGGAUCAUGAAACUUCAUAGGUACAUUGAUCAUGACUCGCAGAUGACCCCUAUUGAUUUUGAGGUCACUAGGUCAAAGGUCAAGGUCACGGUGACCCGAAAUAGUAAAAUGGUUUCCGGAUGAUAACUCAAGAAUGCAUACGCCUAGGAUCAUGAAACUUCAUGGGUAGAUUGAUCAUAACUCGCAGAUGACCCCUAUUGAUUUUGAGGUCACUAGGUCAAAGGUCAAGGUCACGGUGAC